UUGUCCGGAUUUACUGGGUGUAAAGGGUGCGUAGGCGGCUUUGCAAGUCAGAUGUGAAAUCUAUGGGCUCAACCCAUAAACUGCAUUUGAAACUGUAGAGCUUGAGUGAAGUAGAGGCAGGCGGAAUUCCCCGUGUAGCGGUGAAAUGCGUAGAGAUGGGGAGGAACACCAGUGGCGAAGGCGGCCUGCUGGGCUUUAACUGACGCUGAGGCACAAAGCGUGGGUAGCAAACAGGAUUAGAUACCCUGGUAUUCCACGCUGUAAACGAUGAUUACUAGGUGUGGGGG
rnacentral:rRNA from 1 species